rnacentral:lncRNA from 1 species
GGCUAUCUGACAAACUACUGCUCAUUUUUUUCGGUUUUUUUUCCUUCCUUUAUCUAAAGCGGGACCCACAGUGACUUGUAAUCAAACUCAGUUUUUUUCAGUGUUUCUUGCAUUAUUAUUUUUAGUGUUUCCUGCAUUAUUAUUUUCAGUGUUUCUUGCAUUAUUAUUUUUAGUGCUUUUGCAUUAUUAUUUUCAGUGCUUUUGCAUUUUCAGUGUACCGAGCAACGAUUCUUAUGGAUCAUUUCUGUACGAAAAUUAAUGUAACUAAAGAAAACUCGAAUGGAUCUUGAAAUACAUAUGGAAAUAUAUAAAAAAGGAAAGAUACAUAUGAAAAAUUAUUCCACGCUCCUGGUGAUCUUCUUCAAGGCCUUGGUACAUUUCUCCAAUGUAUCGAUCAACGAUCGGAGCACUUCCACGGAGACUUGUACCGUCGGCGGCGUUGGCGACGGCGGUGGCGGCGACGCACGGCGCGCCGGCAGGGCCGUAGG